UACGUAGGGGGCAAGCGUUGUCCGGAUUUAUUGGGCGUAAAGAGCGUGUAGGCUGCCAUACAGGUCAGCUGUGAAAACUCGAGGCUCAACCUCGAGACGUCGGUUGAAACCGUAUGGCUAGGAGUCCGGAAGAGGAGAGUGGAAUUCCCGGUGUAGCGGUGAAAUGCGCAGAUAUCGGGAAGAACACCCGUGGCGAAGGCGGCUCUCUGGGGACGGUACUGACGCUGAGACGGCGAAAAGCGUGGGGAGCGAACAGG
rnacentral:rRNA from 1 species